UACGUAGGGUGCAAGCGUUGUCCGGAAUUAUUGGGCGUAAAGAGCUCGUAGGCGGUUUGUCGCGUCUGCUGUGAAAACCCGAGGCUCAACCUCGGGCCUGCAGUGGGUACGGGCAGACUAGAGUGCGGUAGGGGAGAAUGGAAUUCCUGGUGUAGCGGUGGAAUGCGCAGAUAUCUGGAGGAACACCGGUGGCGAAGGCGGCAUCCUGGACCGGCACUGACACUGAGGAGCGAAAGCCAGGGGAGCAAACGGG
rnacentral:rRNA from 1 species